UACGUAGGGGGCAAGCGUUGUCCGGAAUUAUUGGGCGUAAAGGGCGCGUAGGCGGCUUUGCAAGUGGCGGGUGAAAUCCCUCGGCUUAACCGAGGAACUGCCUGUCAAACUGCAUGGCUUGAGACCAGGAGAGGUGAGUGGAAUUCCCAGUGUAGCGGUGAAAUGCGUAGAUAUUGGGAGGAACACCAGUGGCGAAGGCGGCUCACUGGACUGGUACUGACGCUGAUGCGCGAAAGCGUGGGGAGCAAACAGG
rnacentral:rRNA from 1 species